GACGUCUGAUUAGCUAGUUGGUGGGGUAAAGGCCUACCAAGGCGACGAUCAGUAGCGGGUCUGAGAGGAUGAUCCGCCACACUGGAACUGAGACACGGUCCAGACUCCUACGGGAGGCAGCAGUGGGGAAUUUUGGACAAUGGGGGCAACCCUGAUCCAGCCAUUCCGCGUGAGUGAAGAAGGCCUUCGGGUUGUAAAGCUCUUUCAGCUGGAACGAAACGGUACGCUCUAACAUAGCGUGCUAAUGACGGUACCAGCAGAAGAAGCACCGGCUAACUACGUGCCAGCAGCCGCGGUAAUACGUAGGGUGCGAGCGUUAAUCGGAAUUACUGGGCGUAAAGCGUGCGCAGGCGGAUUGUUAAGCAAGACGUGAAAUCCCCGGGCUUAACCUGGGAAUGGCGUUUUGAACUGGCAGUCUAGAGUGUGUCAGAGGGGGGUAGAAUUCCACGUGUAGCAGUGAAAUGCGUAGAGAUGUGGAGGAAUACCAAUGGCGAAGGCAGCCCCCUGGGAUAACACUGACGCUCAUGUACGAAAGCGUGGGUAGCAAACAGGAUUAGAUGCCCUGGUAGUCCACGCCCUAAACGAUGUCAACUGGUUGUUGGGGGAGUGAAAUCCCUUAGUAACGAAGCUAACGCGUGAAGUUGACCGCCUGGGGAGUACGGUCGCAAGAUUAAAACUCAAAGGAAUUGACGGGGACCCGCACAAGCGGUGGAUGAUGUGGAUUAAUUCGAUGCAACGCGAAAAACCUUACCUACCCUUGACAUGUCCAGAAUCCUGCAGAGAUGCGGGAGUGCCCGAAAGGGAAUUGGAACACAGGUGCUGCAUGGCUGUCGUCAGCUCGUGUCGUGAGAUGUUGGGUUAAGUCCCGCAACGAGCGCAACCCUUAUCAUUAGUUGCUACGCAAGGGCACUCUAAUGAGACUGCCGGUGACAAACCGGAGGAAGGUGGGGAUGACGUCAAGUCCUCAUGGCCCUUAUGGGUAGGGCUUCACACGUCAUACAAUGGUCGGUACAGAGGGUUGCCAAGCCGCGAGGUGGAGCCAAUCCCAGAAAGCCGAUCGUAGUCCGGAUUGUUCUCUGCAACUCGAGAGCAUGAAGUCGGAAUCGCUAGUAAUCGCGGAUCAGCAUGUCGCGGUGAAUACGUUCCCGGGUCUUGUACACACCGCCCGUCACACCAUGGGAGUGGAAUCUGCCAGAAGUAGGUAGCCUAACCGCAAGGAGGGCGCUUACCACGGUGGGUUUCAUGACUGGGGUGAAGUCGAAACAAGGUA
rnacentral:rRNA from 1 species